ensembl:lncRNA
CCGUUCUCGAUGGAAAAUGUCCAAAAGACGGGAUAUAUUGGCCAUAAAGGGGUGAUGGUGGUAAAUCACGAACGAUACGAACGGAGGUUUAAAAGGUUCUGAUUUCAGGUCGUCUUUAACGCCAUUAAGUCUUGGUGUACGUGAAAGUAGGAGAUGGUUCUGGGGUUAAAAAUGUUGCAUGGCGUCAUGUUCAUUGAAAAGUGCGUACAAAUCUCUCUCUCUUUCUCUCUGUCUCAGUCUCGCGCACACACAGCCACCAUUGAGUGUUAACAGCGAUGAUGAUGAUGCGAGCUGACGUUAUGCCUAAUCUGUGUUCUUAUUAUUUUUUGUGUGUGUGUGUUUUGCAUUUAUUGUGGUCUUUUGUGUGUUUUAUGUCCAGAGUUUGAUCACACUCUUGGUCCAAAGGCUUUGUAAAUAGACUGUGUACAGUACAACUCCUGAGACAUGAUGUGAGGAGACAUGAUGAUUACAAGUGUGUGUGGUCUUUUGGAAUGCAAACACGUUUGUCCUCUAAACACUGCCUUUUCUCUGGAGCUCUGUCGCAGUGUACUGAACACACACACACACACACACACACACACACACACACACACAUGCAUACAUUUGUCUGUAAUACACAGCUGUUGUUGUGUAUGUACAUUUGUAUGUUUUUAUUGUAUUGACUGUGUGCUCUUCAGUACGUUCCCUCUCUCUUUUACAGUCGAUCAGAAAAAUCACGCUCCUAUCGGACGAAACGAGCCAUUUCACAGUAUCAGUAUCCCAGUCCUUAUCAACGGUGGGCAUUUUAGACAAAAUACUUGGUUUCGAAUGCACUUCUAUCGUUCUACAGAAUCAAGUCCCACUACGACAUUAUUUCAUGGUUUACCUACUCAGGCGUCGCGAUUGCCUCUUUAAAUUAAAAGCUGUGAUUGACACAUGUCUGUGCCACCCUCUAAACUGUGCAGUGUAUUCAAAUCGUCCCUCAUAUAUAUUUGUGUGUGUGUGUGUGUGUGUGUGUGUGUGUGUGUGUGUGUGUGUGACUCUGAAAAUUACAGCAUGGUAUCCGCUGACAGCAGGCAGCAUCGCUGAUAUAAAGUGUAA